UACGUAGGUGGCAAGCGUUGUCCGGAAUUAUUGGGCGUAAAGCGCGCGCAGGCGGUCCUUUAAGUCUGAUGUGAAAGCCCACGGCUCAACCGUGGAGGGUCAUUGGAAACUGGGGGACUUGAGUACAGAAGAGGAAAGUGGAAUUCCACGUGUAGCGGUGAAAUGCGUAGAGAUGUGGAGGAACACCAGUGGCGAAGGCGACUUUCUGGUCUAUAACUGACACUGAGGCGCGAAAGCGUGGGGAGCAAACAGG
rnacentral:rRNA from 1 species